AACGAACGCUGGCGGCAUGCCUAACACAUGCAAGUCGAACGAGACCUUCGGGCCUAGUGGCGCACGGGUGCGUAACGCGUGGGAACCUGCCCUUAGGUUCGGAAUAACUCCCCGAAAGGGGUGCUAAUACCGGAUAAUGUCUUCGGACCAAAGAUUUAUCGCCUUUGGAUGGGCCCGCGUUGGAUUAGCUAGUUGGUAGGGUAAAAGCCUACCAAGGCGACGAUCCAUAGCUGGUCUGAGAGGAUGAUCAGCCACACUGGGACUGAGACACGGCCCAGACUCCUACGGGAGGCAGCAGUGGGGAAUAUUAGACAAUGGGCGAAAGCCUGAUCCAGCAAUGCCGCGUGAGUGAUGAAGGCCUUAGGGUUGUAAAGCUCUUUUACCCGGGAUGAUAAUGACAGUACCGGGAGAAUAAGCACCGGCUAACUCCGUG
rnacentral:rRNA from 1 species